rnacentral:lncRNA from 10 species
UUUGUGUCUAGCUCAGGGCUUGUAAAAGCACCAAUCAGUGCCCUGUCAAAACAGACCACUGGGCUCUACCAAUCAGCAGGAUGUGGAUGGCGGGGGUUGGCGGGGGGCAGAUAAGAGAAUAAAAGCAGGCUGCCAGAGCCAGCAGUUGCAACCUGCUCAGGUCCCCUUCUACACUGUGGAAGCUUUGUUCUUUCGCUCUUUGCAAUAAAUCUUGCUACUGCUCACUCUUUGGGUCCACUCUGCUUUUAUGAGCUGUAACACUCACCGCGAAGGUCUGCAGCUUCACUCCUGAAGCCAGUGAGACCACGAGCCCACCUGGAGGAAGGAACAACUCCAGAGGCCCUGCCUUAAGAGCUGUAACACUCACCGCGAAGGUCUGCAGCUUCACUCCUGAAGCCAGCGAGACCACGAGCCCACCUGGAGGAACAAACAACUCCAGAGGCGCCGCCUUAAGAGCUGUAACACUCACCGCGAAGGUCUGCAGCUUCACUCCUGAGCCAGCGAGACCACGAACCCACCAGAAGGAAGAAACUCCGAAAACAUCUUAACAUCAGAAGGAACAAAUUCCAGACGCGCCAUCUUAAGAGCUGUAACACUCACCGCGAGGGGCGUGGCUUCAUGCUUGAAGUCAGUGAGACCAAGAACCCACCAAUUCUGGACACAUUAUGACCUUUGUUUCCUGCCAUGGAAGAAAAUUUAAAUUCCCAGGCUGAAGAAGCAAAUUAGGCCUCUCAAGCAGAAACCAACAGGAGUUUAUAGGAAUGAAUGCAGGAGGAAAUGACACCUGAGUUGAGCAGUAAGAGUGUAUCACAAACUCAUGAAAAAUUUCAUAGAUGUCUCAGAAGAAGCAGUGAAAAAUAUUGGUUCUGAGAAGCAAUCAUCAGCCAGUCUCAGAGAGAGGAGAACAAGAUUAAACCAAGUGGCCAAGCUGCCCAUGUGGAUAGGUACAAUGAGCAAGAAAUAAACCUUUGUUGUUUGAUGUCAGUGAG